rnacentral:rRNA from 1 species
GACGAACGCUGGCGGCGUGCCUAAUACAUGCAAGUAGAACGCUGAAGAGAGGAGCUUGCUCUUCUUGGAUGAGUUGCGAACGGGUGAGUAACGCGUAGGUAACCUGCCUUGUAGCGGGGGAUAACUAUUGGAAACGAUAGCUAAUACCGCAUAACAAUGGAUGACACAUGUCAUUUAUUUGAAAGGGGCAAUUGCUCCACUACAAGAUGGACCUGCGUUGUAUUAGCUAGUAGGUGAGGUAACGGCUCACCUAGGCGACGAUACAUAGCCGACCUGAGAGGGUGAUCGGCCACACUGGGACUGAGACACGGCCCAGACUCCUACGGGAGGCAGCAGUAGGGAAUCUUCGGCAAUGGGGGCAACCCUGACCGAGCAACGCCGCGUGAGUGAAGAAGGUUUUCGGAUCGUAAAGCUCUGUUGCAAGUCAAGAACGAGUGUGAGAGUGGAAAGUUCACACUGUGACGGUAGCUUACCAGAAAGAGACGGCUAACUACGUG